rnacentral:misc_RNA from 1 species
UCCUGGUUUCCCAGGCAGUCCCGCUAGAGUGCCUCACAAAAGUGAGUAGCAACUAACAGCAAGGGUUGCGCUCGUUAAAGGACUUAACCCAACAUCUCACGACACGAGCUGACGACAGCCAUGCAGCACCUGUGAUACUGUCUGAACCGAAAUCCAGAAGAUUGUGUUUCUACAACUGUCAGUAACAUGUCAAACCCAGGUAAGGUGCCUCGCGUAGUGUCGAAUUAAACCACAUGUUCCACCGCUUGUGCGGACCCCCGUCAAUUCCUUUAAGUUUUAGUCUUGCGACCGUACUCCCCAGGCGAACCACUUAACGCGUUAGCUACGACACUGAUCCAGCGAACCAGACCAACAUCUAGUGGUUAUCGUUUACGGCGUGGACUAC